UGGGGAAUAUUGCACAAUGGGCGAAAGCCUGAUGCAGCAACGCCGCGUGAAGGAUGAAGGUCUUCGGAUUGUAAACUUCUAUCAAUAGGGAAGAAAAGGAAUUUAAAAUUCCUCUGACGGUACCUAACUAAGAAGCUCCGGCUAACUACGUGCCAGCAGCCGCGGUAAUACGUAGGGAGCAAGCGUUAUCCGGAUUUACUGGGUGUAAAGGGUGCGUAGGCGGCCAUCUAAGUCUAAAGUGAAAUUUCGGGGCUCAACCCCGGAGCUGCUUUGGAAACUGGGAGGCUAGAGUAUAGGAGAGGAAAGCGGAACUCCACGUGUAGCGGUGAAAUGCGUAGAGAUGUGGAGGAACACCAGUAGCGAAGGCGGCUUUCUGGACUAUUACUGACGCUGAGGCACGAAAGCGUGGGGAGCAAACAGGAUUAGAUACCCUGGUAGU
rnacentral:rRNA from 1 species